GGAGUCUGGGCCGUGUCUCAGUCCCAGUGUGGCUGAUCGUCCUCUCAGACCAGCUAUGGAUCACAGCCUUGGUCAGCCGUUACCUAACCAACUAGCUAAUCCAAUAUGGGCCGCUCAAUCGGCGAUAAAUCUUUCCCCCGUAGGGCUUAUGCGGUAUUGCUCUUCGUUUCCAAAGAAUAUUCCCCACCAAAAGAUACGUUCCCAUACAUUACUCACCCUUGCGCUACUGCCAUAUUGCUAUGGCCGUUCAACUUGCAUGUUUUAGGCCUGCCGCCAGCGUUCGUU
rnacentral:rRNA from 1 species